rnacentral:rRNA from 1 species
GGAUAAGCCCUUACGGGGAAAGAUUUAUCGCCGAAAGAUCGGCCCGCGUCUGAUUAGCUAGUUGGUAGGGUAAUGGCCUACCAAGGCGACGAUCAGUAGCUGGUCUGAGAGGAUGAUCAGCCACAUUGGGACUGAGACACGGCCCAAACUCCUACGGGAGGCAGCAGUGGGGAAUAUUGGACAAUGGGGGCAACCCUGAUCCAGCCAUGCCGCGUGAGUGAUGAAGGCCCUAGGGUUGUAAAGCUCUUUUGUGCGGGAAGAUAAUGACGGUACCGCAAGAAUAAGCCCCGGCUAACUUCGUGCCAGCAGCCGCGGUAAUACGAAGGGGGCUAGCGUUGCUCGGAAUCACUGGGCGUAAAGGGUGCGUAGGCGGGUCUUUAAGUCAGGGGUGAAAUCCUGGAGCUCAACUCCAGAACUGCCUUUGAUACUGAAGAUCUUGAGUUCGGGAGAGGUGAGUGGAACUGCGAGUGUAGAGGUGAAAUUCGUAGAUAUUCGCAAGAACACCAGUGGCGAAGGCGGCUCACUGGCCCGAUACUGACGCUGAGGCACGAAAGCGUGGGGAGCAAACAGGAUUAGAUACCCUGGUAGUCCACG